AUCUGUAAAAGGCAAAUCUCGCGAAAGCGGGGGACGCAAAGUCAUCGGUCUACCGGGCUCAAGGCCCCAGGACGGCAGGACUGCCAGA
rfam:Nitrosospira multiformis ATCC 25196, complete genome.